rnacentral:rRNA from 1 species
UACGUAGGUGGCAAGCGUUUGUCCGGAAUUAUUGGGCGUAAAGCGCGCGCAGGUGGUUCUUUAAGUCUGAUGUGAAAGCCCACGGCUCAACCGUGGAGGGUCAUUGGAAACUGGAGAACUUGAGUACAGAAGAGGAAAGCGGAAUUCCACGUGUAGCGGUGAAAUGCGUAGAGAUGUGGAGGAACACCAGUGGCGAAGGCGGCUUUCUGGUCUGUAACUGACGCUGAGGCGCGAAAGCGUGGGGAGCAAACAGG